GACAGAGGGUGCAAACGUUGUUCGGAAUUACUGGGCGUAAAGCGCGUGUAGGCUGCUCUGCAAGUCGGAUGUGAAAGCCCUGGGCUCAACCUAGGAAGUGGAUUCGAAACUGCAGAGCUGGAGAUCUGGAGAGGAAAGCGGAAUUCUCGGUGUAGAGGUGAAAUUCGUAGAUAUCGAGAGGAACACCGGUGGCGAAGGCGGCUUUCUGGACAGCAUCUGACGCUGAGACGCGAAAGCGUGGGGAGCAAACAGG
rnacentral:rRNA from 1 species